rnacentral:tRNA from 1 species
UCCUCGGUGGUCCGGUGGUUAUAAGACUCCACACUGCCACUGUGGGUGGCAUAGGUUUGAUUCCUGGCCUGGGAA